rnacentral:sRNA from 1 species
UGACCACGACCCUCCAUUGUUCCAGCCAC